CAGUCUGGAUCAUGGAGGACACACGAGGAUUACAGCAGGACCACGCAAAUAUGCCUGUUUCCUCACUCUGGAUCCAAACACGACAUACGCUUUUCUCAUUCUGUCUGAGGAGAACAGAGAGGUGAAGCGUGUGAGAGAGUAUCAGCGGUAUCCUGAUCAUCCAGACAGAUUUGAUGGUAUUUAUUCUCAGGUGUUGUGCAGAGAGAGUGUGUGUGGACGCUGUUAUUGGGAGAUUGACUGGAGUGGAGAUGAUGUGUGGAUAUCAGUGUCAUAUAAGAGCAUCAGGAGGAAGGGAGUAGAUCCUGAGUAUUUGUUCGGAUGUAAUGCUCAGUCCUGGAGUUUGCGCUGCUCUUCCUCCAGUUAUAUAUUUUGGCAAAAUGACACACGCACUGAUCUCCCAGUGAAACCGCUCAGCAGGAGAAUAGGAGUGUUUGUGGAUCACAGUGCAGGAACUCUGAUCUUCUACAACAUCUAUAGAGACACAAUGAGCCUCAUCCACUCAGUCCAGACCACAUUCACUGAGCCGCUCUAUCCUGGGUUUACUAUUUGGUGUCAAUCAUCAGUCAAACUGUGCUGAAGACUGAGAAGGAGCAGUCAGUAGCAGUGUGUGUGUGUGUGUGAGAGAGAGAGAGAGAGAGUGUUUGUUUGUGUAUGUGUGAAAGAGCAUGUGUGUGCGAGUGUGUGUGUGUGUUUGAGUGUGUGCAUGAGUGUAUGUUUGUCUGUGUGGGAUUUUUUUUUCUACAAAAAUACUUUCUUACAUCAUUUUUUUUUUUGACACAUUGUAACUCCACAUCAGAUGUAACAGCAGCUCUCCUACCUCCACACUGCAGACAGCGUCCUUAUAACAGCACUGUUGUUCAAAGGUUUCAGCAUCAUUUAUGGCCUUGUAAUACUUUAAAUCUAUUUUAAUUCUGGACCUGACGAACGCUUUAAAACUCUCAAUCUCUUGACCAUGUACAUCAGGGGUGUCAAACUCAAUUCCUGGAGGGCCGAAGCCCUGUACAGUUUAGUUCCAACCCUGCUCCAACACACUUACCUGUAGGUUUUAAACAAGCCUGAAGGACUCAAUUAGUUUGAUCAGGUGUGUUUAAUUAGGGUUGGAACUAAACUGUGCAGAGCUGCGGCCCUUUUGCAACUGAGUUUGACACCUGUGAUGUACAUCAUCUAUUUAGUUUCUUCUUGUGAUAAGUAGAGCAAGUUUUGCUUGAGCAACUAAACAGUGAAUGAACUGCUAUUUCAGUUUGUGUUUCUGACUAUAGCCAACUCCAGAAGAAACUUACAUUGAGUCAAAUUCUCUCCACAUUUCAGGAAAACUCUGCUCAACAUAUCAAACUAUUGUGUUAAACGUGUACAGUCUCUCUAUGUCCACAGAAGAGACACUCGUCAUGGACACUAUAGAGUGAACAACACGUAUGAAAUCAUUCACUGCCACAAUCCCCUGCAGAAUCCUCCAUUGUAAAUCCCCAACACAUUUUGUCAAAGUUGGUUUAUACAAAACUCUCCACACUGGUUUUCCCCCUAAAGUAUCAUGAAAUGUCCGUUAUUUCUGUUAAUCUGCCUUUGUCACCUCUCUGAUCCGUAAUAAUAAUAAUCAUAAUAUUAGACAUUUGUUUGGACAUGAUGUGCUCUCUUCAACAAGCAGCUUUUCUCUUCAUUCUGCAGGCUGUUCGCUCUGGCAGUUGAUCAGAUAUUUGUAAGCAAGCCUAUAAUAAAAAGCAGAGUUAUUCUGCAGUCAGGUGAUGUGCUCCAUCAGGCACAACAAUCUUGAUAGUAUCUUGUAGUGUGCUGUGCCGCAGUUUUCAUAUCUUGUAGUAACAUAUUUUUAAAAGUGUACUGAUUAUAUUUUUAAAUUUAGCCUACAUAAUUAGGCACAAUUUAAACUUUCAAAACAUCAUGUUUUUCCCACCUCGGGCAUUAAAGCCUUUAUAUUAUUUUCUCUUUUAUUCUUAAUUGGGCAGCCAUUAUUCUCAACCCUGUAAUAGACUAAACUGAGUUGGUAAUAAUAUUUUACAAAGCUUUUGCUAUAACACCAACAUUUCCCUGUUGCUCAUAUGUCCCUCAAAUCAGUUUAAUGGCUAAAAUAUCACAUUUUUAAUGAGUUUUAGAUUCAUAUGUGAUUUAAGUUACAAUUAUUCAUACUUGCGCAUUCUGUGGUCUCUUAAUUUUUAAAAAGUUUUACAUUUAGAUGUCUUACCCCACCCAAAUAAUUACAAUGUUAGGCCUUAACAUGCUGGUUGGUUCUCAGCAAUAUUUUUUUCUAUAUUUAAUUGUUUUCCUUUAAAAAAAUGAAUCUCACAGGGUGGAGAAUACAGUGACGGGUUUAAGACCAUAACAGGGUUAAGAGGACACGUAAAUUUCAGUUUUAAUUUGUUUUAGUUCAUUUGAAAUUACAUCUAACACUUACUCAAUUUAUUUUAGUAAAACCCAAUAUACCCAAUAUAUUGCUGAACAGAACCUACAGUAAACAGAAGCAACAGGUAAAGUCUUGUCUAAAACUUUAUUUCCUAGAACAUCAAUAAAAACUGCAGCAGAAAAGUUCUUAAUGAAAUUGUUAAUGAAAAUACUCAAUAAUGUUAAUAAAAAAAUAAAAUUAUAUAGCCAGAUUGGCUGAUCUGCUUAUUUCAGAAACUGCUGAUCUAUUGGGAUUUUCACACACAACAAUCUCUAGGAGAGAAAAUUAUAUAGUGAGCAACAGUAACUGAAAUAACCACUCGUUACAACCGAGGACUGCAGAGGAGCAUCUCUGAACACACAAAACUUCCAACCCUGAGGUGGAUGGGCAGCAGGAGGGGAUUCAAUCAGGGAUUCCAAAACCUUUUGUUAGCCUAACCCUCUGUAUCUAUAAUAUUAAUAUGAGUUAUGCCCUCAAUGACCCCCUCUCUAAAGUUGGGUAAUUGUCACAUGACAUAGAGAUAAACAAAUGAACUAUUACAUAAUUUAAGUAUUUUUUUGUUCUGAUUUUAUUAGCUUUACAUAAACUCAUGAUGUAACUUGUGACACUCAAUAUAAAAUCUGCUGCUGGUACGGGUGCCGUGUCUGACAUUAAAUAGUGUCAAAGUUUAAGUAAAACACAGCUUCAAAUAUUCUAUCAGUAACAAAAUUUUUUUUUAUGUUUUUUAAUGAAUAUUCCUAAUUAACUAGGUGAAUAUACCCAAAACAAUGACAUGUGUGAUGGGGUUGAGUUUUUAAAGCAGAAUGUCCUCUGCUCCUUGUGUGGUUUAAAAGAGAAUGCCCACAUGGCAGCAAUUAAACAAGAAUAUGUUAUAUUGUUUGGAAAUAAAAAAAAAACAAUCAUAUUCCAUCUUAGUUUUACGUUACGGGGUUGAAUUGUUAAGCUUGACCGCAUCCUUCCUAACUAUAAUAAAAUCAAAAAGUGUAAAUAAAUGAAAAUAUAGCUUCUUUUGCACCAUGCUGAGAAAGAGAACUGAAUGAUGUCACUUUCCGUCUGUAGGUGGAGAAUUGCUGGUGUGACAGGGUUGAGUUUAUAUUGAGGGACAUAACUUUGUAGCCUGUUUUUUAUUAAAAAAUCUUAUUUUUUAUUUAUCACAAGUAAAUAACACAAAUAAAUAGUUGUAAUACUAAAAAAAUAAACACUGUGUCUACAUGCAAUUUCAAAGAAGUGCCUCGGGGGCAUGACAAAUAGCUUGGUUUGUGACAGACAUAUUAUAUUUUUUAUGCUAAAGCUGCAUUUAAUGUAUUUUUUUAUUCAUUAUAAUGUACAAAGUAGAUCAAUGAAAAAUGCUUUUAACAUGUAAUUUAAGUCGACAACCACUAUAAAAAAAUAUGGGGGACUGAAAUAUUACAGAACGCCAGGAAUGACUUAAUUAUAUCUAAGAUAAUUUUGUAAAACAAUAUGUUUUGUUAAAUGUAUAAUGUAUAAAUAGUUCCAUCACAUCAGCUGAGGCAAAAAGCAAUAAUGCAGCCAUUUCUUCUUGUAGUGUUGAUGUGGCUGUUUUGAAAGAAUUUGUGUGAAAGGCAUCAGGAACUUCUGGGAACUGCACAACUUUGUGUAAUGUUUUCACACUUGCAUGUGUCGAUUUUAUUUCUCAAUCAUUUUUAGAUUCAUUAAUUUUAUCAGCCUUCAUUGUGAUCAUUUUCUCUUUAUUGGUUAUACCUCACAAUCACAAACACUCACAACUGGUUCCAUUCUUUUGAAUUGUGUGGGUUAUUGAGCCAGGUUUCCAUUCGAUUCCUGAUUUUGCUCCGCGAGCAAAGGGCAGGAGUGGGCGUGUCCAGCAGGGGAGAAGGAGGGCAGUGAACAACUGUUGUCAGUUAGCUCACAGAAUGAAACACGUGAUUUUAUAGUUUAUAAAGUUAAAAUGCAAAGAAAUAAACAGUAAUGUAAUGCCCGGCUACAUUUGUUAUUCGUAAUUUCAUAUACACUUAACCACAAUUUAUAUCAUUAUAAAGAUAAUCAUGUUCAUAUAAACUCUAUAAUUGAAGACUUUUCCCUUAAUCCCCUUGUCUGAACCAUAGGUCUGAAUGCAGGCUCAGUGCAGCAGGCCUCUUGCCCUGUCUAUUUCAACCAUUAGCCCUGUUGGUAACCUAGAGGAUUUAGGCGAACACAACAGCACGGCGAUGUGUCUAAAUGUGAACAAACUCCUGAUAAAAGACAAUGUCCGCCAUUCUCCAAUUCUCGUACUGCUCUUCCGUCAAAAAUGCUUGCUGCACACACAGCUUUGCUGUAUUGGCCCUGACAGGAUCUUAGGGAAAAACAUGCAACAAACACUGUGGAUCAUGAUAACAAACACAUACGAGCCUUCAUAAACGGUGUGAUGGUUGAUGGGUCAGAUGACAUUAAUCAUGUGAGAGACAAAAAAUUCACUGAUGUAUUCUGAUAUUCCUAUGCGUAAAAGUACAACUCUUAACGAUGAAAUGAAACGUAAGAGAAAGGAAAGGCGACUCCGACAGAGGGCGCGCCUAGCCAACAAAUCAGCUGGACGAACUCUCUGUGAACCCCUUGCUACUUCAGAUGACCCUCUUGCUAGUAGUCGAACUCUGAAUGAACUCCCAACUUGUACUUUUGCUGAACUUUCUACCGAGUUCACGCACCUGAAUUUAAGUGCAUAACUUUAUAGCACAUUAUAAAUCAAGGCUUAUAUUAAACAGCCUAAAUGUUGAUUUAUAUGAUACAAUGUACUCUUGAUGACUAUAUAUCUGUCUUUUUACUGUUCAAGUGAUUUAGCAUGCUUCUUGAAUGUAUGAUUUCAGUAGUCUGUGCACCUGUGUUUAGGGUUGAUUUAUGAAUACUGUCACUGCGACACUGAGUAUAAAAGCUGACAUGUACUCUUCAGCUUUGCGCUUCCUGACUUCUGUUCAUUGAGGUUGGUUGCCCUUUGUCCGCCAACUGGGGACAAAGUAAGGAUUUUGUUUUCUGUUUGUCUUUUGUUUAUUCUACUUUUUCACUGGAUUUUGUUUUAUUAAUAAAAGUGUAUUUUAUUACUUUU